rnacentral:lncRNA from 1 species
CUGUUAGGAUAUACUAUUAACCAUGCGUUUUGAUAUAGUAUUAUUAUUGAACAAUUGUUUAUUCAUUUAUUCAAUUCAAUAAAGUGUUACAUUAAAUAGAUCAAUUGUCAUAUAUGUGUCCUUAACUUAUAUAGUAGAUGAUUUAGUGUAUAGAGUUUAAGCUUAUACACAGAAGAUUAAAUCAUCGGUUCUUAUAAGUUAAAAGUUAUAGUUCACAAUCGUAGAUGGAAAUUUGGACAAAACCAUCAGAAAG